GAUGAACGCUGGCGGCGUGCCUAAUACAUGCAAGUCGAACGAAGCACUUUUGUGCUUAGUGGCGAACGGGUGAGUAAAAGAUAAGUAACCUGCCCUUGACAGGGGGAUAACGAUCGGAAACGAACGCUAAGACCGCAUAGGUAAUAUAACUGCAUGGUUAUAUUAUUAAAUAUCCUACGGGAUAGGUGAAGGAUGGACUUAUCACGCAUUAGCUAGUUGGAGAGGUAACGGCUCCCCAAGGCGACGAUGCGUAGCCGGCCUGAGAGGGCGGACGGCCACACUGGGACUGAGACACGGCCCAGACUCCUACGGGAGGCAGCAGUAGGGAAUAUUGCACAAUGGGGGAAACCCUGAUGCAGCAACGCCGCGUGAAGGAA
rnacentral:rRNA from 1 species